AUGGGCGCAAGCCUGAUCCAGCAAUGCCGCGUGCAGGAUGAAGGCCUUCGGGUUGUAAACUGCUUUUGUACGGAACGAAAAGCCCUGGGUUAAUACCCUGGGGUCAUGACGGUACCGUAAGAAUAAGCACCGGCUAACUACGUGCCAGCAGCCGCGGUAAUACGUAGGGUGCGAGCGUUAAUCGGAAUUACUGGGCGUAAAGCGUGCGCAGGCGGUUUUGUAAGACAGAGGUGAAAUCCCCGGGCUCAACCUGGGAACUGCCUUUGUGACUGCAAGGCUAGAGUACGGCAGAGGGGGAUGGAAUUCCGCGUGUAGCAGUGAAAUGCGUAGAUAUGCGGAGGAACACCGAUGGCGAAGGCAAUCCCCUGGGCCUGUACUGACGCUCAUGCACGAAAGCGUGGGGAGCAAACAGGAUUAGAUACCCUGGUAGUCCACGCCCUAAACGAUGUCAACUGGUUGUUGGGUCUUAACUGACUCAGUAACGAGGCUAACGCGUGAAGUUGACCGCCUGGGGA
rnacentral:rRNA from 1 species